rnacentral:rRNA from 1 species
GUGUCAGCAGCCGCGGUAAUACGUAGGGUGCUAGCGUUGUUCGGAAUUAUUGGGCGUAAAGAGCGUGUAGGUGGUUUUGUAAGUCGGAUGUGAAAUCCCUGGGCUCAACCGAGGAAGUGCAUCCGAAACUGCAUCGCUGGAGGACGGCAGAGGGAAGUGGAAUUCCUAGUGUAGAGGUGAAAUUCGUAGAUAUUAGGAGGAAUACCGGUGGCGAAGGCGGCUUCCUGGACCGUUCCUGACACUGAGACGCGAAAGCGUGGGUAGCAAACAGGAUUAGAUACCCUGGUAGUCCACGCCGUAAACGAUGGGUACUAGGUGUUGCGGGAAUUGACCCCUGCAGUGCCGACGCUAACGCAAUAAGUACCCCGCCUGGGAAGUACGGUCGCAAGAUUAAAACUCAAAGGAAUUGACGGGGGCCCGCACAAGCGGUGGAGCAUGUGGUUUAAUUCGAUGCAACGCGAAGAACCUUACCUGGGUUUGAAAGCCUCGGACAACCCUAGAGAUAGGGCUUUCCCUUCGGGGACUGAGUGCUAGGUGCUGCAUGGCUGUCGUCAGCUCGUAUCGUGAGAUGUCGGGUUAAGUCCCUUAACGAGCGCAACCCUUGUCCUUCGUUGCCAGCAUUUAGUUGGGCACUCAAAGGAUACUGCCCGUGUUAAGCGGGAGGAAGGUGGGGAUGACGUCAAGUCCUCAUGGCCCUUAUGCCCAGGGCUACACACGUGCUACAAUGGCCGGUACAGAGGGCAGCCAACCCGCAAGGGGGAGCUAAUCUCAGAAAACCGGUCUCAGUUCGGAUUGGAGUCUGCAACUCGACUCCAUGAAGUUGGAAUCGCUAGUAAUCGCGAAUCAGCAGGUCGCGGUGAAUACGUUCCCGGGCCUUGCACACACCGCCCGUC